GGCAAGCAAAGAAAAAUAAAAGUGGAAAUGGUAAAGCAAAUGUUCACACAUUCAAAGAAUUAAAUAGGCUAUUUACAGAUCGAGAAUCUACUUUUAUACAUUUAACUCUUCUAUUGAGUUCAUUUAUUCUCCAUUAAUUAUCACAGAUAAUCAACAUACAUAACUGAAAACUGAUUUUAAACAAUAAAAGCUGAGAUUUUCCCAGUCAUAUUGAUAUGUUCUUUUAUUAAAUACCUUGUACUUGUUUUUAUUGGAGGGAGAAGGCAGUAGUUGGGCAAAAUCUUUGAAAAUUUGGGCCAAAUUUUGAAAAUAUUUUUGCUAUCAUGCAUUGGACAAAUAAUUCAUAGGCAUGUAAAUAUAGAUAGAAAAGAUAAAAGUCAAUGAAUCAAUCACUAUUUAACUCCAAUUGGCGGUAGCUAUCCUAGCUUGAUAAAGGCCUGCAGAUCAAAUCAAUCUUUAAAUUAUUGGUUUGUGAGCUAAGUGGGGGAAUUCACAGAUUCAGGUAACAGGAAGAGUGACAUUGGGGCCUGGUUUUAUCACGCAAGGAGCCUGACUGAUUCUGCUGAUGGAGAAGUAGAGAUUGUGAUCUUUUUUCCUGCUGUGUUCAAAGGCAGGAAGACAGAGGCAGAGUGUCAACCUGCCACAAGGUAUAUCAACAAAUGGCUCUCAGGAAUUGUAGAGCAAAUAAAGUUCAUUGAGUUUGCUUCUAGGAAAAGAAUUUUCUAGAGGUUAAGGUAAGAGUUUGUCAUAUUAUGUGUCUCCUGUAAAGUGGCUCCACAGCCAUGGAGUCAUUCCUGUGACUCAGAUAAGCUUAGAUGCACAGACCAAGGGAAAUAGAAACUGGGAAUGUAAUGUGCAGAUAUCUUCAGAAUAUUGGAAUGCUGUGUCAAGAUGAAAGAUGGCCACAAGCUCUUUGACAUUUCUCCUAUCAAUAGAUGAAUUCUUUUUCUCUUCUCCUUGAAUGUGGGCUUCCAUUUGACUGCUUUGACCAAUGGAGUAUGGUGGAGUGUAGAUAGGCCUGGUCCCUGCCUAGCCUUGAAGAAGACUGGAAGCUCCCUUGGUCUUUUGGAGUCCUGAGCUACCAGGUAAGAAGAAGACUUCCCUGUGGGGAGAACAAAUGGAGAGGCCUUGAGACUUGGUGGGGAGGAAGAGGGCUCCAGCCAAGUUUAGGCUUCUAGCCAUCCCUGCCAAGGAACCAGGGAUGUGAAUGAAGCUACCUUGGACAAUCAAGACAAGUGGAGCUUCCAGUUGAGAGAGACUGGAGUCAAUACCAUAUGGAACAGAAGAAUCACUCAUCGGUCUCACCCUCUUAAGUUCCCGACCCCCAAAAUUGUGAGAUAUUAAGAUUGUUGUUUUUGUCACUAAAAUUUAGACCAGUUUGUUACGCAGCAAUAGAAAAUAAGAAGAAAUGCUCAUCUUGAAUUUUUUUGAUUCUUUUAAUGUAAUGAAUUGCCUUCAUUGGAAAGAAUAUAUGUGCAAAUCCUAAGAGUAAAGACUAAGAAAUCGUUUUUUUUUUUUUAAACUUUGGAACAGGAAAUCAUGACCAGGCAGACUAAGGUAAGAAACAACAGAAUAAACAUUCAAUAGUGAAAUUAGGAAAAGAUCUCAGCAUUAAUAACAACAACAAAAAUCUUAUUGCUAGACAUAUUAAUUAUAUUGAUUGGAACUGACUGACUAAAGAACACUGUCUCAGUGUUAUAACAACAUUUUGUUUCUUUGAAAUGACAUACUACCUUUAAUUAUAGGAAAAUUAUAACUCAUAAUGGAAUUUGUUUUGUGCAACUGCUUGCCGUUAAGUGCAGACCACAUAGAACUUUCUAAAGGUCUGUCUCACUUUGAAUACUUUAAGGAAAUAAAGCAUAAAACGUAAAGAACUCCUGUUAUAUUUUACCCUAAUCAAGUCCCUAACUAAUGAAAUUAAUGAUUAAUCAUUAGUUACUCAUGGUAGAAGACACUAAAAUUUUAUCAGGGAGAGAAAAUGAUCAAAAGUAGUCUUCAUUUUCCAUCAAAAACGCCAACCCACAUUAAAUAACAUGCUUACAGCUAAAUGUUGCAUAUCAUUUUUAAAGUUUAGAAAUUAAAAAAGGUCAGAUAGCUUCCUCAGAAAAUAUGACAAUAUUAAAACUCCGUUCAGAAAUUGAUAAAGAUUAAAAUUCUGAAUAGGCGGUGAAAGUUUUCCUGUACCAUCAAAGAUUUUAAUUGACUGAGUCUUCAUAUAGAUAUUCAUUAGGCAACUAUUUUUUAUUACUUCAAGAGAGCAUAGUUACAAUUAAACUGAGAUGACCUUUCCGUUUCGGGAUGGCUUAUUCAGACUAUUUGCAGUUAUGACUGAAUGGGUCACCUUUAUUCCUGCACUAAAUGAAAGUGGUUCAUAUUUUUGUCGCUGCUACUAUUUCAUGGUUUUACAUUGGAAAUUAAUCAUAUCAUAUUGAUCCCUAAAGGCACACACCAAUUGCAGAAGGAAAGUUUAAUAUUUCACAAUCUUGGCAUAGUUAGGAGAAAACACAGACAUAAAUUGUAGUUGAAGGAUUCUUAUGGUAAAUUAAUUUGGAAUCUUUAUUCAUCAAAACCCAAGACUUUUGGCUAUGAGGUAUGCUGGCCGGGGGAUGGAAGUAUGCUCCAGCAAGAGCAAGGAGACCUGAUGCUGUGGUAGUGCCAAGCAGAGUGGGCCGCCUGGGCAGCAACAUGCCUUCACACAAACUGUGCUCUGCGUACAGCUGAAGGAAUUGAAGGAAUCUGACUGAGGACUAGAGAAGUUAAGUCACUGCAGACAGAUACAGAGAAGUGGCAAAGGAAGCUGAUUCGUAUGCACCAUCUCAAAGAACCUCCUCACCCUCCCACAUCUGGUUGGGUUCUGCCGUCAGGGAGAACUGCCAGAUCACAGAACUAGAGAAGAGAGAAGUCAGAAUAUUCCUCCUUCUGGGUCUUACCCUACAGGUCACCAAUGUGCAGCUGAGUCCUGCUCCCCUCCAGAGGCCCAGUUUCCUUAGUUCUUUCAAUCUCUUCAUUCUGAAAAAGUGCUUUCUUCUCUCUUCAUUUCAGGCCUUAGGCUGGGAGAGGCCCACUGUUUCUAUUCCUGAUAUGUUGAACUCUAGAGUUUUACCUCCUCCCUGGCCAUACUUUGAUAAGUGGCAGGUGGUUUCAAUUAAAUUCUUCUCCAUUACCAAAUUUGAGUAUGUCAUUUCUUUCCUGAAGGAUACCCCAGAUUGACAAAGCAACCAAUGAAUAUUUCUUUCUUUCCUUAAUUGCAUUACCAUCUUACCAGUCUUGAAAAAAAUAACCAUGUCGAACAUUUUCCUUUCCCUAUUUACUUUGGAUUAUUUACCGAUCAAUAGCUGAAUCACACUUAUUCUGAAAUAAACUAACUCCCUUAUCUUGUCCCUCAUCCCACUGCUUUAUAAUAUUUGAAUUAACAGGGUAAGUUCUAUGCUGUGUCUGCAAAUUUUAGUUUCUAACCCGAAUGUCGGGAAUCUCUAGAAAUCUCAGUUACCUAAUCAGUGAAAAUAAUGAUGAGAUAUUAGGAUAGUGUCUAAAGUCCCUUUCAUUGGUUUAAGUUUAAAAUGUAGACAUGUAAAUAUAAAGUGAAGAGGUGUCAUUUAAUUGGACACUCCCAAAUAUUGUUUGCAAAUUUAACAUUAUGCCAGUUCAAGGGUUGAGUGUGUUGUUGUUGUUGAUUUUGGAGUGCCAAUUGUAGUAAGCAAUAAAGGAUAACAAAUGUACUGAAUGGCAAUGUCGAGUUCUUACUAGAUUGCUGGAAUCAACAGGCCAGAGCUCAUUUCCUGGCGUGACACUUCCCAUGAAGUUUUAAAAACUCCCCUUUUGUAAAAACAGAAAUAGUGCCACCAAUUUGCAGGAUUUGGGGAAAAAUGUAUGUAAAUCUCUGGCUCAGAGUAGACAAUAACAAAUGCCAUUUCUCCCACAGAAAUAUAUAAUCUAGUAGGGUGCUGAAGCUUAGAAAUAGAAAAUAAUUAUAAUGCAGUGUGGUCAGCUGUCAGUGAAGGACUUCUCAGUGUGGGUUCAAACAGCUUCUCCCUCCUACUCCUCAGGUUUUCUUAUCUACCUAGGCGAGAUAAUCAAAAGAUGUGGACUUCAACAAUAGGUUUUCCUGCUGUUUCUAUGGCAACCAGAUGACAAUAAUCACAACACUUCACUUUAGUCUUUAACGCAAUUUAGUCGGCAACAUUGGUUAAUCACCCACUGUGUGCAGAGAAAUGUACUGGAAGGUUAUGGCAACAAGAAAUUUUAUUGUCAUAAGUGGAAACUGCUAGGAGAAAAUAACUUUCUCCACAAAAAUGUCCUCUGAAAAAAAUUUUUAAAAAUCUACCUCAUUAUUUGCACAUUAGGGUUUCUAGAUUUACCUUGAGCCGUAAGUGCUUCUUUGCAAUCUUCUGCACAAAUAAAAUUAUCAAGGAAAGACUGGAAUUUGUCCUCGAUGCUGAAAAUGACCUGAGUUAGUGGAGACAAUAGUUGAACACUAUUCUACUAAUGCUAGCAAAUUUCUCUCUAGAACUUUCUCCUGGGAAUAUAGACACACUUAUUUUUCCCCUGAUACAAAUAUAGGAAAAGGACGUUUAUCCAAAAUUCUCCUUCUUUUGGAAGGUCCUAGGAUGGUGAGGUUAAACAGGAAGCAUGUCAUUAAAUAAUGGCAAGCAGUAAAUCCGUUAUGGGGACCUUUCUCAUAAAGCAAGCCAUGUAAUGGCCAGAUGCAGAAGGUCAAAUAAAGAACUCAAAACGUCUUUCUUCCAAUUUCUCACAGCUGUGUGUGGACCGGGCUAGAGCAAAUAACAGGUGUCUCCCAUUGACCUUCAGAGCUAUUCAAAAUUCUUAAUAAAUAAUGUUUUGGCCUCGAUACCCAUCUCUUUUCCAGAGCAAUUUUCCACUGAGAUUUAUUUCACUCAGAUUCAUUUUAUAUAUGUAAUACUAUACUCUGUUUUUUUUAAAGAUUGGCACCUGAGCUAACAUCUGUUGCCAAUCUUCUUUUUUUCUUCUUCUUCCCAAAGCCCCCCAGUACAUGGUUGUAUAUCCUAGUUGUGAGUGCCUCUGGUUGUGCUAUGUGGGAUACCACCUCAGCAUGGCCUGAUGAGCGGUGCCAUGUCCAUGCCCAGGAUCUGAAGCCACAAAACCCCAGGCCACCAAAGCAGAGCCUGAGAACUUAACCACUGGGCCACAGGUCGUCCCCUAUAAUACUAUACUCUCACACCCAUCUGCAUAUUGCUCAACUAACUUUAAAAAGGAGAAGAAUUAGUAGAAUUCAGUGAUAUGGCAUACUGAUAAGUGCUUAUUUAAAGCUGUGUGUAUGUUUGCAUUAUUCAAUUUUAAAUACUAUUUUUUUCUUACUGAACAAUAAGCAGAAGUUCCUUAUAUUAAAAAAUAGAAGUUAUUAUGAACAAAAUAAGAAUAUUAAAGUAAUC
ensembl:lncRNA